rnacentral:rRNA from 1 species
GGAUUAGAUACCCUGGUAGUCCACGCCGUAAACGAUGAUAACUAGUUGUUGGGAGGCUUAGACCUCUUUGUGACGAAGCUAACGCGAUAAGUUAUCCGCCUGGGGAGUACGGUCGCAAGACUAAAACUCAAAGGAAUUGACGGGGGCCCGCACAAGCGGUGGAGCAUGUGGUUUAAUUCGAUGCAACGCGAAAAACCUUACCUACCCUUGACAUCCUCAGAACUUGUUAGAGAUAACUUGGUGCCUUCGGGAAUUGAGUGACAGGUGCUGCAUGGCUGUCGUCAGCUCGUGCCG